rnacentral:rRNA from 1 species
GAUGAACGCUGGCGGCGUGCCUAAUACAUGCAAGUCGAGCGAACAGACGAGGAGCUUGCUCCUCUGACGUUAGCGGCGGACGGGUGAGUAACACGUGGAUAACCUACCUAUAAGACUGGGAUAACUUCGGGAAACCGGAGCUAAUACCGGAUAAUAUAUUGAACCGCAUGGUUCAAUAGUGAAAGACGGUUUUGCUGUCACUUAUAGAUGGAUCCGCGCCGCAUUAGCUAGUUGGUAAGGUAACGGCUUACCAAGGCGACGAUGCGUAGCCGACCUGAGAGGGUGAUGGGCCACACUGGAACUGAGACACGGUCCAGACUCCUACGGGAGGCAGCAGUAGGGAAUCUGCCGCAAAGGGCGAAAGCCUGACGGAGCAACGCCGCGUGAGUGAUGAAGGUCUUCGGAUCGUAAAACUCUGUUAUUAGGGAAGAACAAAUGUGUAAGUAACUAUGCACGUCUUGACGGUACCUAAUCAGAAAGCCACGGCUAACUACGUG